GAUGAACGCUGGCGGCGUGCCUAAUACAUGCAAGUCGAGCGAACGGACGAGAAGCUUGCUUCUCUGAUGUUAGCGGCGGACGGGUGAGUAACACGUGGAUAACCUACCUAUAAGACUGGGAUAACUUCGGGAAACCGUAGCUCAUACCGGAUAAUAUUUGGAACGGGGGGGUUCAACGGACAACACGGUCUUGGAUGCACCUAAGGAGGGUUAGCUAGUUGGUAUGGUAACGGCUUACCAAGGCAACGAUCCAUAGCAGACCUGAGAGGGUGAUCGGCCACACUGGAACUGAGACACGGUCCAGACUCCUACGGGAGGCAGCAGUAGGGAAUCUUCCGCAAUGGGCGAAAGCCUGACGGAGCAACGCCGCGUGAGUGAUGAAGGUCUUCGGAUCGUAAAACUCUGUUAUUAGGGAAGAACAGAUGUGUAAGUAACUGUGCACGUCUUGACGGUACCUAAUCAGAAAGCCACGGCUAACUACGUG
rnacentral:rRNA from 1 species